AGUUUGAUCAUGGCUCAGAUUGAACGCUGGCGGCAGGCUUAACACAUGCAAGUCGAGCGGGGAAAGGUAGCUUGCUACCUUACCUAGCGGCGGACGGGUGAGUAAUGCUUAGGAAUCUGCCUAUUAGUGGGGGACAACAUUUCGAAAGGAAUGCUAAUACCGCAUACGCCCUACGGGGGAAAGCAGGGGACCUUCGGGCCUUGCGCUAAUAGAUGAGCCUAAGUCGGAUUAGCUAGUUGGUGGGGUAAAGGCCUACCAAGGCGACGAUCUGUAGCGGGUCUGAGAGGAUGAUCCGCCACACUGGGACUGAGACACGGCCCAGACCCCUACGGGAGGCAGCAGUGGGGAAUUUUGGACAAUGGGCGAAAGCCUGAUCCAGCCAUGCCGCGUGCAGGAUGAAGGCCUUCGGGUUGUAAACUGCUUUUGUACGGAACGAAAAGACUCUGGUUAAUACCUGGGGUCCAUGACGGUACCGUAAGAAUAAGCACCGGCUAACUACGUGCCAGCAGCCGCGGUAAUACGUAGGGUGCAAGCGUUAAUCGGAAUUACUGGGCGUAAAGCGUGCGCAGGCGGUUAUAUAAGACAGAUGUGAAAUCCCGGGCUCAACCUGGGAACUGCAUUUGUGACUGUAUAGCUAGAGUACGGCAGAGGGGGAUGGAAUUCCGCGUGUAGCAGUGAAAUGCGUAGAUAUGCGGAGGAACACCGAUGGCGAAAGCAAUCCCCUGGGCCUGUACUGACGCUCAUGCACGAAAGCGUGGGGAGCAAACAGGAUUAGAUACCCUGGUAGUCCACGCCCUAAACGAUGUCAACUGGUUGUUGGGUCUUCACUGACUCAGUAACGAAGCUAACGCGUGAAGUGACCGCCUGGGAGUACG
rnacentral:rRNA from 1 species